rnacentral:rRNA from 1 species
UACGUAGGGUGCGAGCGUUGUCCGGAAUUAUUGGGCGUAAAGGGCGCGUAGGCGGCCAUUCGUGUCUUCCGUGAAAUCCCUCGGCUUAACUGCGGACGUGCGGAAGAAACUGCAAGGCUCGAGUCCGGGAGAGGGGGGUGGAAUUCCCAGUGUAGCGGUGAAAUGCGUAGAUAUUGGGAGGAACACCGGUGGCGAAGGCGGCCCCCUGGACCGGUACUGACGCUGAGGCGCGAAAGCGUGGGUAGCAAACGGG